UGUCACGUGAGGGCGAUAGCGAACAAUGUUACAUUCAUUUUGUAAUUAUACGUUUGCAAUUUUUGCAUUCUUGUUUAUAGCUAAUUUUAACGGACAAGAAAUUAUCGAUUACAUUAAUCACGUAUUUUUUACCGCGUAAGAUGUACUGUACUCACAAAUGUAUAUGAAUAAAUUAAUUGGGUACGGAAAGAUAAGUUAAAAUUAGUUUUAGAAUUAGCUUAGAAUCCGCUUACUCAUAGCGAUGAUUGAUAAGUUACUUGAUCUUUUCAAAUUUUUGAUUGGUUGCCUAACUAUUACUUUGUAGAUACAAUGGUAGUAUAUGUAACACCUUGGCACGUACACUUGGUACGUAACACCUUGGCAAAGUUUGAUAUUAUUUCUUUUGCAAAAUAGCUGCAAAACUUUUCACGUACGUGUUUCUUGGUGGAGUGUUGUCACUUUUUAUCGAACUUCUCGCCACGGUAAAAAAAAUCACUCUAUAUCGUUGCGUUUAAUAUAUUGUGUAUAUUUGAUAUACGGCACAGAUAGUAUCGUGUGACACAUUGCAUUCUAGUUAACAAAGGCAUCAUUAUCCUACUUCACCGUUGUAUAUUUUAUCUAUGCAACAGUGACAUAAAACAUAUCAUCUGGCAGCGUAUUACAAUUUGCAGUAGAAUAGUUUGCAGUGUUUGUGUCUGCCAAAUGCACUAUCGAUACCGCUAUCAAGGUUCUCUCAACCGCAUUAAUUUUUAUUAUGUAUCCAAUUCCAUACAACUCGUUUCGAAUUAACUAUCAAAUUGUGAAGCGAUUAUUGGAAGAGCUUCAACACAUCUGUGACGGACUAGAAGAUGAGAACGAAAUAGCUAUCAUCAAGAAAUAUGGAAACAAAGCGAAGCGUCUUACGGGCAUAAUUAUAUGUAAGACAAUGUCUCUUGAUAUUUGAUACAUAUUGCAAAAGAUUACAAUUUUAAUUAAAUACAUUUAUUUAAUCAUUUUUACUUAUUCUAAAUAAG